UCCCAGACUCCUACGGGAGGCAGCAGUGGGGAAUAUUGCACAAUGGGGGAAACCCUGAUGCAGCGACGCCGCGUGAGUGAAGAAGUAUUUCGGUAUGUAAAGCUCUAUCAGCAGGGAGGAAAAUGACGGUACCUGACUAAGAAGCCCCGGCUAACUACGUGCCAGCAGCCGCGGUAAUACGUAGGGGGCAAGCGUUAUCCGGAUUUACUGGGUGUAAAGGGAGCGUAGACGGCCAGACAAGUCAGAAGUGAAAGCCCAGGGCUCAACCCUGGGACUGCUUUUGAAACUGCCGGGCUGGAGUGCAGGAGAGGUAAGCGGAAUUCCUAGUGUAGCGGUGAAAUGCGUAGAUAUUAGGAGGAACACCAGUGGCGAAGGCGGCCUGCUGGACAGUAACUGACGUUGAGGCUCGAAAGCGUGGGGAGCAAACAGGAUUAGAUACCCCUGUAA
rnacentral:rRNA from 1 species